UUUUAUUUUUAAAUUUUGAAUUUUGAAUUUUAAAAUUUUAGAAAUUUAAUUGUUAUAAAUCCUGUGGAAUUGUAUGAUAUGUAUCCAAACAGCUUAAAAAUGAAGCUGCGGAAUUUUUUUGUAGUUACAGGAUUCCAUAUUUCAUUUAUUAGACCAAAACUAUAGAAUAAAAAUCCCAUGGAGUUUUUUAACUAUGCAUCCAAACAGGGCCUAAAUUGUUGUUGACAUUGUGGUGUUGUAGGAUAGCAAUGG
rnacentral:lncRNA from 1 species